rnacentral:rRNA from 1 species
CGAAGGGGCGUAGCGUUGCUCGGAAGUCACUGGGCGUAAAGGGACGCGUAGGCGGACUCUUAAGUCGGAGGUGAAAGACCCAGGGCGUCAACCCUGGAAUUGUCCUUCGAUACUGGGAGUCUUGAGUUCGGAAGAGGUUGGUGGAACUGCGAGUGUAGAGGUGAAAUUCGUAGAUAUUCGCAAGAACACCAGUGGCGAAGGCGGCCAACUGGUCCGAUACUGACGCUGAGGCGCGAAAAGCGUGGGGAGCAAACAGGAUU